GUGUCAGCCGCCGCGGUAAGACAGAGGGUGCAAACGUUGCUCGGAAUUACUGGGCGUAAAGCGCGUGUAGGCGGACCUUCAAGUCGGACGUGAAAGCCCUAAGCUCAACUUAGGAACUGCAUCCGAAACUGGAGGCCUGGAGUAGUGGAGAGGAAAGCAGAAUUCCUGGUGUAGAGGUGAAAUUCGUAGAUAUCAGGAGGAACACCGGUGGCGAAGGCGGCUUUCUGGACACUUACUGACGCUGAGACGCGAAAGCGUGGGGAGCAAACAGGAUUAGAAACCCUGGUAGUCC
rnacentral:rRNA from 1 species